rnacentral:hammerhead_ribozyme from 1 species
AUCCAUCUGACGAGUCCCAAAUAGGACGAAACGUGCAUCCUUGAU